rnacentral:rRNA from 1 species
UACGUAGGGUGCAAGCGUUAAUCGGAAUUACUGGGCGUAAAGCGUGCGCAGGCGGUUAUGUAAGACAGGUGUGAAAUCCCCGGGCUUAACCUGGGAACUGCAUUUGUGACUGCAUAGCUAGAGUACGGUAGAGGGGAUGGAAUUCCGCGUGUAGCAGUGAAAUGCGUAGAUAUGCGGAGGAACACCGAUGGCGAAGGCAAUCCCUGGACCUGUACUGACGCUCAUGCACCGAAAGCGUGGGAGCAACAGG